rnacentral:misc_RNA from 1 species
GAUGAAGAACGCAGCGAAAUGCGAUAAGUAAUAUGAAUUGCAGAAUUCAGUGAAUCAUCGAAUCUUUAAACGCACAUUGCGCCCGCUGGUAUUCCGGCGGGCAUGCCUGUUCGAGCGUCAUUUCAACCCUCAAGCCCCCGGGUUUGGUGUGGGGGAUCGGCUCUGCCCUUCUGGGCGGUGCCGCCCCCGAAAUACAUUGGCGGUCUCGCUGCAGCCUCCAUUGCGUGGUAGCUAACACCUCGCAACUGGAACGCGGCGCGGCCAUGCCGUAAAACCCCAACUUCUGAAUGUUGACCUCGGAUCAGGUAGGAAUACCCGCUGAACUUAAGCAUAUCAAUAAGCGGAGGA